UACGAAGGGUGCAAGCGUUACUCGGAAUUACUGGGCGUAAAGCGUGCGUAGGUGGUUUGUUAAGUCUGUUGUGAAAGCCCCGGGCUCAACCUGGGAAUGGCAAUGGAUACUGGCAAGCUAGAGUGCGGUAGAGGGUAGUGGAAUUCCCGGUGUAGCGGUGAAAUGCGUAGAGAUCGGGAGGAACACCAGUGGCGAAGGCGGGUCUCUGGACAGUUCCUGACGCUGAGGCACGAAGGCCAGGGGAGCAAACGGG
rnacentral:rRNA from 1 species